rnacentral:lncRNA from 1 species
GCCAUACGGUGGAGAGUUUAAGGGUGCGUAUAUCCAUAUAUUUGACAUGUGGAGCUGUGUGGGGAAAUGGCACAGGAUAGAGAUACUUCUUGACCGCCACUUAUUCACUGUAGAGCAUUGGGUCACCGAAGUCUUACAAGUGGAAGAGAAUGGAAAAGAAAAAUGCAAAUGUGUUCAGUAUUAUUCUACAACUCAAAUCAUAAAAGAGAUGAACUGCUUAUACUGGAUUAAAGAGUGAUGGAAGUCUCUUGCCAGCAUCCUGUCAGCAUCUGCAGUUGAGCCUCUCAGCAGGGAGCCUGGCUGGGGUGCCUGCCUGGCUGCACCAGGUAAUUGGCUUGCUUCUUUCUUCAGCCAGGAGAAGAAGUUCUUCAGACUGUCAUGAGCACAGGAGGAGAACGAAGCCCAAUCAUUAACUACACAAACAGAACAGAUUGAAUCUACAGUGAAAAGUGCUGUGAGAAAAGCUUUGUUUUUGAGCUGAUUCUACAAAAAUAAAAAAAAACACAAAACAAAAUCA